GCCCAAAAGGGAAAUGACGCCGGCGCAGAAAAUGGCGUCCGCAAAGCCUGUGGACCGCUGUGGCUCGCUACCCAUUUAAUUUAGAGCCGUGUGUGGGGGGUGUCCGCGUCGGGCAGAUGGACGGUAAUAACAACAUGGCAGUCCACCGCUGCCAGCCGCUUUCCUGAUCCCGGAGUCGAACCCGCAACUUCAUGUCUGAAGGAGCCAGAGCUGCCUGGUCGAAGAGGGGUUGUGGGGAUUCGCACCGCCGAGGUGAUUGACGCUCAGAAAAAGGGACUUUGUUAGCAUCUACUGGACACAAGGGGCACUGUCCUCUGAUUGGCUCGGACAAC
ensembl:lncRNA